UGAGCUAUGAGGACAAACAUUUGAACAGAUGCACUCUGGUGACUGUAUACGCUAUUCUGAGCCACAGCU
rfam:Tetraodon nigroviridis chromosome undetermined SCAF14565, whole genome shotgun sequence.